rnacentral:rRNA from 1 species
UGGGGAAUAUUGGACAAUGGGCGAAAGCCUGAUCCAGCCAUGCCGCGUGAGUGAUGAAGGCCUUAGGGUUGUAAAGCUCUUUCGGCGGGGACGAUAAUGACGGUACCCGCAGAAGAAGCCCCGGCUAACUUCGUGCCAGCAGCCGCGGUAAUACGAAGGGGGCUAGCGUUGUUCGGAAUUACUGGGCGUAAAGCGUAUGUAGGCGGAUCGUUAAGUCGGGGGUGAAAUCCCGAGGCUCAACCUCGGAACUGCCUUCGAUACUGGCGAUCUUCGAGUCCGGGAGAGGUGAGUGGAACUCCGAGUGUAGAGGUGAAAUUCGUAGAUAUUCGGAAGAACACCAGUGGCGAAGGCGGCUCACUGGCCCGGUACUGACGCUGAAAUACGAAAGCGUGGGGAGCAAACAGGAUUAGAUACCCCCGUAGUCC